UGAGCCAAAGGCAGACGCUUAACCAACUGAGCCACCCAGAUCUCCACUUAAAAUUUUUAUUAGAGUGGGGCUGAAGGGAAUGCUACCAGAUGAAAACCCAGGCCUACAAAAAAAUAAUAAAAAGCAUUGAAAAUAAUUGCAACCAGAACGUGAGAUGAGACAGAAAAUCUAAGCAGCACAAACGUGAACUUGCUCAGUGUGGCAGAAUGCCUGAGGGAGCCGGGAGAUACUGAGAGAGGGAAGGAGAGACUAGAGAAAGGAUGAGGAGAAAGGUGAGUGUCUGAGCAGAGGCCAAGUCAGCCUCACCUCAUUUUCCCCUUUUGCUUCAGUUUUUCU